GCCGAUUUGAUUUGCUUUACAGUGGAGCUUCUUUUACUUGUUUCCAUUAGCUAACGUCAUCUGGCCAGUUAUGAUGAGCUAGCGUGGCAAAUUCGGACAUUCGGCGUUUAGUGUUUAACGCGCCGAAGCAGCAUCGUUACAACCAUUUUUAGCCACGUCAACUGCUCAAAAGAACUGUUAUGUCCGCCGCGGCCCCGCGGCGAGCGCCGGACGGGCACGGCGCUAGCUGCUAAGCUAACUACCUGCAGCUUACCUGAUGACGAACCUGUCACAUCCAGCUGCACUUCAGCAGCCGCCGCCGCCUCUCGAGAGCGCUAUUUCGGUUGUGACGGGACCCGCGGACGGUAGGAACAGGACGGGGAGAAGAAAAGAUAUGGGUCUUCGGACGAGACUCCUGACUUUUUCUGUCCUCGGGCCAACUUUUCGUGGUUUCAAAAAACGGUAUUUUAUUGAAAAGGCAGAAGUAAGCUUUGACUCGCUACACGCUAGCUCGCUAACUACUUUUUACACUCGGGUAAGAAGCAACAAGCGAUUUUGACAGUUCGAGGAAUGUUGAAUGUGCUUCGCUAGGGGGUUAUGAAUAAGGUUUAAACAUUAAUUACGUAUUGAUUUUUAACUAUAUCGAAUGUUAUAAGCUGAAACUAAAGUAGAAACAAUGUGCUGUUGUAAUAUGUCGCAACACGUUGUUCAACUUCAACACGGGGAUUUACUUUUAUUCGAUCAACAACAGAUGUUCAACCCUACAGGGAAAGUGGUACAGUCCAGAUGCACCAAGGGUAAAGGGAGGGGGAGCUCGUUACCUAGGAAACAACAGUGAAUCUCCCUGUGGCGAAAGAUGUGGCCGCUGAUUUAUGGACCAGUGCCUCCCUGUCUGUCCGUCAAAACCGCCUGCCAUCGAAUAGAUGAUUAAGAUUGAGAAGAUUAAAGACAUUUGACAACACCUAUUGCAAUUUAUUCUGUGAGAAAAGCAGAUCGAAGCACCUAAAUCAGCAUACCAUCACCACUUGAUGCUUUGCGGAGGAGCAUGUACAUCCCCAGCAUUUUGCGGGCUAAUUGCAUGCAGCUGGCUGAAUUUAGCGAUCCAUGACACACAGAGACCCUUUGUCAGCAAGAAGCACAGCGAGUCAACAAGGAGUAAGUCACAAAUAUCCCCGGAAUGAGCAGAGAGGCACAAAUUUAGCCCCACUGACUGCUGCCCACGCCAUGUGCUGCCUAUUGAGCGUGCGGACAAUGAACACAGCCAUCACAGACUGCUCUGUCAGGUCCAAGGCCAUGCUUCAGUGGAAUGGUACCAGGAAUGAAGGCAUCGCAGUUUGACAGGAGUCGGGCCAUCGGCGGUGUCGGGGACCAAAGACGGUGUUAGUUAUUGCUGUGAUAUUUCAUAACAACAGCUGUUCGAAGCAGAGACCUUAAUGGGCUCAAUUUAUUGCCAAUCAAUGAUCAAUCCUGAGUCAGACGGGUGGUGGUCGGCAUGUGCUUCUGCCUCGUGUCACAAUAUAUUGUGGCAUUUGAUGCAUCGCAGUGGUGGCGUUCACAUUACUCCACAUUAUCUCAGUCAGAGCGACAGUGUUAAACAAGUGUUAAAGAAAACCAAGAAUGCCGACGUGUUCGUGCUCUAUUCAGCAUUUAUUAUCAGAAGGAUAUCAGCGCCGCAAGGUUUUACCCAACCACAUAUUUUAUCUGUGUAUUGCAAGUGGAAAAGCAAAAUACAACACAUCCAAGGCAGCGCCACAAUGGAGGAAAACUGUAUUUUUAAGACCUAACUGAUAAUGAAAAACUGCUUGCAUAGGUCAAGCUCCUCCCCAAAGGCCUAAUGUAUUGAUCUCAAUGCAGAGGAGGCAGCGCCGGCUGCUGCCGGCAAUACUUCUCUUAAAAGUCCCUGAACGCCCACACACUCGCAAACAAACACAAACUUGCCUCACGCUCAUGGAAAACACAACGGCGCAGAAACAUCAAUUUAACAAGAUCUCUUCUUUACUUUGACUUUGAGGUCGGCGCGUUGACGUCGGCAAAGGGGUUGAAACGCUUGUGUCACUUCCCCCUCCUCCUUGCUCUGUGCUGGACGAAGCCAUUUAGCUGCUAUUCAGCGGCGCGCUUAUCGUGGCUGCCGUUUGGGAAACGGGGGCCUCGGCACAUGCUGUGCUCAUCAAGCUGUUUUGACUUUACAUUCGUUGUACUUGUAGUCUGCGGGGAUGACCUCGGGGUCAAACUGAGGGGGCGUCGGGCUGAAAAACAACCGCUGCAUCUAGGCAACAUCGCUGUUGUCCAAAGCGCACAAUGAGGUGGACCCCCGCGGAUAGAAGACAUUAAUAAACAACGGGCCUUAAAGACAGGCCACACACACACACACACACACAGCGGUGGGCAUGGCUUUUGCGGCAAGAACAGAAUUGAUCUUGGAAAUCCUUGCACACUGAACGAGAACACACCUGAUUGUGAAAGCUUUUGACCCAAAUGCUUAAUGCAGCGCAGGUUUAUUAGAAAAGAGCUUAUGGCCGACACAAAGCUCAAUGGGUGUAUGUGUGCGCACCCUCAUGGAGGUUUAGUCAAUUCGAUUGAUGGUGGGGAGAUCACAUGGGCAUUUUACCCCCACAAUGACUUGGACGAGCGUUCUCUUUUUACGCAUCACAUGGUCUGACCAGUGAUGGAUUGGAGACGGGCCUUCGCCGGGGCUCGGAGCAAACCGGUUACCGAGUGCAUGUGCAU
ensembl:lncRNA